UAAGGAUCCUUAGAGAACAAGUGGAGAGCCUGAAUGCGACCAAAAAUGAGCUGGGUGUGGAUGACGACACACUGCAGCAAUGGGUGGCCGAUGUGCAGAAAUGGGCUGAAGAAAGUGAUCAAACUGAUGGCAGCCUUGGAGCGUUGCAGGCACGAAUAGAGGAGCUUGUCGUCAUCAUCAGAGUGCGAACACAAAGUCUUUACAGACAAAAUGAUAGCAACAAGAGGCGACACAGAAUUCGCAAGGUCAUCUUAGUUGAGAAGAAACGCUUGGCGGCUGCUGUUGACGACUACAACAAGCUUGCUGAACCAA